rnacentral:rRNA from 1 species
CCCUUGAGGCGUGGCUUCCGGAGCUAACGCGUUAAGUCGACCGCCUGGGGAGUACGGCCGCAAGGUUAAAACUCAAAUGAAUUGACGGGGGCCCGCACAAGCGGUGGAGCAUGUGGUUUAAUUCGAUGCAACGCGAAGAACCUUACCUACUCUUGACAUCCAGAGAACUUAGCAGAGAUGCUUUGGUGCCUUCGGGAACUCUGAGACAGGUGCUGCAUGGCUGUCGUCAGCUCGUGUUGUGAAAUGUUGGGUUAAGUCCCGCAACGAGCGCAACCCUUAUCCUUUGUUGCCAGCGGUUCGGCCGGGAACUCAAAGGAGACUGCCAGUGAUAAACUGGAGGAAGGUGGGGAUGACGUCAAGUCAUCAUGGCCCUUACGAGUAGGGCUACACACGUGCUACAAUGGCAUAUACAAAGAGAAGCGACCUCGCGAGAGCAAGCGGACCUCAUAAAGUAUGUCGUAGUCCGGAUUGGAGUCUGCAACUCGACUCCAUGAAGUCGGAAUCGCUAGUAAUCGUGGAUCAGAAUGCCACGGUGAAUACGUUCCCGGGCCUUGUACACACCGCCCGUCACACCAUGGGAGUGGGUUGCAAAAGAAGUAGGUAGCUUAACCUUCGGGAGGGCGCUUACCACUUUGUGAUUCAUGACUGGGGUGAAGUCGUAACAAGGUAACCGUAGGGGAACCUGCGGUUGGAUCACCUCCUUACCUUAAAGAA